rnacentral:snoRNA from 1 species
AUCCAUGAUGAGUACAAACAAACUAUCCUUAUCUACAUUGCCUGAUCUGCCCGAUGCACGGGCGCGAUGUUGACAUCGUGAUACUCUGAGAU